AUGAGGCCAAAGCAAGGUCAACGCUGUGAUGAUCAUCAUAACACAAGGAGCUCCCGUUCUCCAGAGGAAAGAGGGAUAGAGCCAGAACAGUUCCUUGGGCCUAGACACAAGCUACACCCACACUUCUGUACUAAGCUGUGCAAAAGGAGUGGAAAUUCAAGCAAAUGCAGUGUCACCGUGUUCCCAAUCUCAAGUAUUUCACUGGGCCCACUGGCUGCCAAAAAAUGGACUGGAUCCAGCAAUGAGUGCCUUGGAGUUCCAUGGAAGACAGCAUAAAACACUGGUGUUCAGUUACUCUGGCUUCCAAUUCCUCAGCGUUCCUAUGACUAAGACUUCCAAGACUCAAAUUUUGGCCUCUGUCCCUUUGUAUAUUUAUUUCCUGAUCUGAUGUGGAAUUAGAGUUAAAUAGGAGCUGUGUGCUUGAAUUCCACGUGGCUGGCUCAGCAGGAAACUCCAGGACAGGUUUUGUUGGCAUGGUGAACUCAUGUUAGCCUCAACUAUGUUAAUUUCUAAAGCUGUGUGUUUUGGUCAAAUAAAUCUUAGAGACAAUUUUGUUUUCAGAUGCAUACCUUUUUAUGCACAAGCUAUGAAUGAUAACUAUAGGGCAGAAUAAGGAUUGAAAAAAAAAGGUAUGGUGUUUGCUAAAUGACUUUUGUGUGCCAGGCACUAUGCUAGUUAUAUUAUAUACAUUUUCUCAUCUCAUCUCAUCUCCACAAGGACUCCAUAAGGAGCACCAUUUUACAGAUUGGGAAUGAGAGGAGAGCAGAUGUAACUUGUCCAUGUUCACAGAGCUGCUAAGUAAA
rnacentral:lncRNA from 1 species